CAGUCAGUCUGAUUACUCUUACCAUUAUGAUUGCAAUUAUAAUUGUAGGUUGUUUUAAUGUUUGUCAUGGCUUUCCUGAAAUUUGAGAUCCCGCUUACUAGUUUAUCAGAGGCAAAGCUGUGUGAAGGGUCUGGAACUGAAGUUGAUGGGGAUGUGUUUGAGGAGGUGGUGACAUGGCCAGACCUUGUGUUUUCAAGCUCACGCUGACCAAUGAUGCUAAAGCUAAUAGAGAGCAUACUGAAGAAAAGGCCUGGUGGAGAGGUCAUCAAGGAAUACACUCCAAAACUAAAAGCCUGACUGACUGCACCAGACUAAAGAUGAUCAACAUUCUUGUUUCGGCGAUGACGGCGACUCAUGGGACAUCACCACUGCGUGAGAGAAACGUUUGCACAAGGCAUCAUCUCCUUGUUCCCAUACCUGAAGGAUCCCUACACCACAAAUGGAUAUAUUGAGAAGGAUUUUGUGCUGCUGUUUGGAGAGGGAACAUCAGUCAAGUUUUUGGAGAGGUGGCCAACUACAUUCAAGCAAAAUAUCAUCCUUCUAAGCAAGSCAGAAUCUGCAGUUGAUGAGGGAGCUGAGGGGGAUGAGGGAGCUGACACGAAUGCUGAUGGAUGGGACGGUGACCUUUCCUCCAUCCUUCCCCUGCUCCAUUUGACUCCUCCUUCAUCACAAGGCCGCAAAAGACCAGGCAAGAUGUCUGCAUCCCAAGCUGAACAGCAUCUUGUGAUAUUCCAAAAGGUUUGUAUUGGCAUUCUUAUUCAUGGACA